UCGGCGCGGGCACUCUCGGUUCCCACCGCGGGCUGAGCCGGGUAGAGGCGGCCACUGCGACCUCCAGCCCUGGCGAGCUCGGUUAGAGCUUCCCAGUAAACAACUGAUUGUUCCCUCCGCUCCCUCCUCCUCCCCACUGUGCUCUCCCCCGCCCCCCUCCGGGUCCCCAAAAUGGGUUCAAGGUGUCAACGCUGGAGCAAAUCGGAUUUAACGUGGAAGAUACAGGGUUGGCAGCGCAGGCGCUUCCGUUCCGCGACCCGGUGUCGGGCCGAGUGUUUAUAAACCGCCGACCGCUAAUAAAGAGCAGGGCAUUUGCGAAGACUGUAGGAGAGUGAGAGUGAAAAGAAAAGGCGGAGAGAAAGAUGGCUGUGAUUGUCACACCCCGAAGAGAGCCGAGCCCCAAAGUCUGCGCCUUGAGGCAGCCUCACAGCCUGGCCGCCAUCUCUCUGUAGGAAACCGAACAUCUGAUCAAGUUCAGAGGCGCUUGGCGAGACCGCCUCAAGCAGCGCUUUAUAACUGCAGCCUUUCACUUCCUGCCCCCCCAAUCCGCCUGGCCUGGUCAAGACUUCACCUUCUUUCUUUGCCAGUUUGCUGGGGGGAAACCCUGCCGGUAGCGCACUUACGUAGUCACCCCCUCCCUUCAAACUCGCCCCAAUUCUCCCUCUACAUCAGAGCUCUCUCCCCAGGUUGGAAGCCGCACGGACCCUGGGCGCACAGCUGGUCUGAAAAAGUUUGGAUUUCCUACCGGCGCCAUCCCCGAGGAGAGCGGGGCUCGGGGGCGGAGAGGAGGUGGCUCUCGAGCCCUAACCCGGCCAGCGCUGAUGCGAGGGUUUCCGGGGAGCCCCGCCAGGUACCCCGAGAACCAGGGGCCCGGCGCGUUUGGGAGUCCGGGCCGGCAGCGGGGCGAGGAGCCGAGGAAGGAGGGCGCCGAGGGAGCCUCGCCUGCCCCUUUGCGGGGAGGGGUCCCGAGCGCAGGGCAGGGGAUGUCGCCGCCGCUGACCUACCCGGUGCCCAGUGUCCGUUUUGAUAUGGCCACAUUCCGAUAAUUAAUUGCCUCCAGCACGUGCUCUGUAGUCCCAGGAACAAAAAGGCAUAAUUCAAUUAGGUCAUCAACCGAGAAGUGGGGAGGGGGGAUGCUUGUUAAGGGGCCGACCUGAGGCGGUUCAGCCAGGCCAAAACCCCGGGCGGUGGAGCCCUUCCUGGGGCAGCCCGGCCCAGCCCGAGUGUGCGACUCUGAGGGGGUGUCGUUGCUCGUUGGGGCGCAGGGACCCCCGAUGCCCCCAAGAGGACGAGGCUGGGGACUUUGUGAGCAGCAGGGCAGAGGCAGGCCAUUUCGAAUUCUAUUUCGGUUGGUCUGAGUGGAGGUUUCUUUCUGGGGAGGGGGAACCCUGACCCUUGCAACGCGAUAGAAAGCGAAAUACCUCCAGAUAUAGCAAGUUGCUGCAAAAGAAGACAAUCCCCCCCCCCGCGCAAAGCAAACCACUUCUGUUGGGCAAUAAUAAUAUUAAUAAGUGAAGUUCUCCUGAUUACCUGCAGCCCCCGCCCCUCAACUUACUUUUCGGAGGAGACCCUGAGAACAACUUCGGGGGACAGGGGCUUUAGGGAGCUGAGUCUGAGAGCAGAGUGGUGGCGGAAAGAGGCAAGUGAAGAAAAGUUUUUUUCUGCACACAGGCUGGGGCGAGGCAGAAGAGAGCUCUGGUUUCUUCGUUUCUCAGGUAGAGGAAGGAAU